CGAGUUGUAGUAUAGUUUGGUAUUAUAUCUGUUUUGGGAACAGAAGGUCAAAGGUUCAAAUCCUUUCAACUCGA
rnacentral:tRNA from 1 species